CUUUUUUUUUUUAUACCUAAUAAUCCUAGAACAGGUAUGAAUUAUUGGGGUUUGUGUUUUGCAGUUAAAGGCAUGUUUGGAUUUGGGUUUGGGUUUUGCGAAUGAAUGAAUAAACAUUUGUAGAAUCCGAAAUUUGAUUAGGAAAAUUGAAACAGAGCCCUCCGAAAACCCCAAAACCCUAUCUGGCUUUGAGUUUUGUUGUGGCCAUGGAUUUUCAAGUGGUUCUCGGCGGUGGCGUCUCCAAGAAGUUCUUUCCCCUCAUUUCCUAGGUUUCCAAACGGAAAUGCUUAUUACCAAACAAUUUUCGACGCUACUAUGUUAUAUAAAAAGUGCUUAUUUCUGACUGUAGGAGCUUCCAAACUCAUUGUUUCUGGUGGCAAAUCGCCUCGUUAUCUCUUACGUUCUUAGACGUCAUUGGAAAGGGUAAAUAGUGAAAUUGGUGAGGAAAUUUAACUGGAGGUGGUUGAAGGCGAAGAAACUGCUCUUCGUGUCGGGGCUUGGAUUUCAGGGGCUUAUGCUUAUCGCCUCCAUGUUGAGGUUGCUUCAGUUCCUGUACAGCAACUGCAAUUCGAACUAUUUCUCAUCACCUAACUACUAAAGACAUUUUGGUGGAAUAUCCCUCCCUCCCUUGCCUGUGAACUCUGUUGAUUUUCUGCAAGUUGUCAAUGGUGAUCUUAUUACGGAUAUGCCACUAUAUAUAUAUAUAUAUAUAACAAUUAUUAAA